GGCCUGGUGGUCUAGUAGUAUGAUUCCUUCUUAGGGUGGAUCUUACGCAAAAACAUUUGGAGGAGGUCCCGGGUUCAAUUCCCGGCCAGGCCC